GCUACAGGUGUGGCCCUAAAAGGACAAAAAAAGACAAAAAGACAAAAAAAGAAAUUUGUUCUUCAUUUAUGUUAUUUCUACCAAUUAGUUAUAGGCAAGGAAAAAUUGUACAUGUUCUGUCAUCUUUAUCCAAAAACCCUAUGAAAUUUUGUUUAGAAUUCUGUCAGACUUUAAAUGUGGAUAGUUCCAAUGAAAGAUCUUGUUUGAUUAUUUUAUUCUGAGGAAAAAGAUGCAAACUGGAGGAGCUGAAAGAAGAGGAUAGAAUCACUUCACAGUGGAAAAUCCUGGGUGAAGAAGACCAGAGUAAAAACGGCAGAUAACAAUAGACUACCAUAAGUUAAUCAAGAAGAAGCCCUGAUUGCUCUUGCUAUGCCUCACAUGGUAUCUUUAUUAACAUAAUUAACAUAUGGUCUUGGGUAAGUGGUAAAACUAUUGUUCUGAAAGAUGCUAUCAUUUCAAUACCCAUCUGGAUGGAGUAUCAGAAAUAACUUACAUUUAUAUGAGAUUGACAAUAGUCUUGUCCCAAGGCUACAUUCAUUCUCUUGCUCCCUGUCAUAAUGUAGUACAAAAGAACCUGGAUGGCCUGGACAUUCCAAGGCUGUGACUUAUAUCUUCAACAAAUAGCCAUUAUAUACUAUUAGAUGCCCUGUCCCCACUAGGUAGAAUACAAGAAGUGCAUGUAGGAGUGGCCUAUUUUACCGUCACUCCCAGUGACUCACUUGGCUGUGAAGUUCACGUCUCCUGACCCCACAAACAUCAACAUUGUUGUCCUAGAGGUCUUGGGUUCUGCCAGGGGACACAAGUAGGAGUUCCACAAACACACAGCUAUAGCUUCCUCUCUACGGAAACGAGUUUCAAUAGAUCACAGAGCACAGAAAGAAGUUACUGAUGGUCCCUGGAUAUCAUAAGGAGGAAAGGGGUUUGGAGAAAUAUGUUUAGUACCUAGGUAGUCUACUGGGCAUCUCUUAUUAUUCCUAUGCCCAGUUUUAACUGUAAAUGAGUAAAUAAAGGAAGUGUAGCCCCACCAGAGCAGAGUAACCAGGCAGAGCACUUACCCCCACAAAAGUGCUGUACAAGAGAAAGAAAUCUUGAGUGUGUGUUAGAGAAGGGGGGUAAUGAAUAUCAGGUAGGCUGCAGAACCCGUACCUGAGGUAGCACCUUUAGCUCAUCCCUCAAAUCUUUCUUUAAUAAGUUUUCUCAGAAUAUAACCAACCAGACUCUUGGAAGGAGAAAGAAGUGGAUAUGAGUGGUAUUAGGAGUAAAUUACAAGGGUUUUUCCAUGCACUACCCAAAUCCCUAUCAAGGAUCAUUUUACUUAUCUACCAGAUCAGUGGUGUGCAGGUAAAAUGGCUACCUGGAAAAAAAAAAAAAAAGAAAGAAA